rnacentral:lncRNA from 1 species
UAAAAUAAAAUAAAGGAAAGGAAAGGAGGAAAAGGGGUAUCCCCUUCCAUUUUUCACGUAAUGAGAAGAAUAAGGGAAUGAAAUCCUUAAACAGGGUUCCCCCAAUUCACGCAUACCUCCAGCUGCAAAAAGAAAAGGGAAUUCGAAUCCCUACUUUUCAAUUCUUCCUCAUCCUUCUUCUUAUAAGGCUUCUGUUCUUCAUUCUAAUCCUCAUUCAGCGAUAUGAUCACGACAAAUUCGUUGGAGAAAAUUGAACGGAGGUUUGGUUCACGCUGGCAGAGGGGCGGCGGCGAGGCUUGCGAAGGCUGGGAUGAAGCCGUUCUCGGCGGUCCUCAGCCAAGACUACCGUGGCAUCAAGAGGUAAUCCUCUUCCUCGUUCUUAUUACCUUCCUUCAUCAUUUAAUGGUGAUGACGCGGUGGUUAUGGUGGGGUACGGUGGCUCGAGGUUCGGGUCGCGAUGGUCUUCCCAUUCGAGGUUCUUAUUUUCACGGCGGUCACCAAAGUAAGGUAGGGAUUCAGCUAUUCUCCUCGACUAAUUAUGAUUGAUUUGGGGAUGUUGACUUACCCUUAUGUCUCUCCUGCAUGCGAGAUUUCUGGACGAGGUUGCGGUGCUCAAGGGAUUCCUAAUAUCCCCAAAUGCGAGAAUCACAGUAUGGGUGAAGAAGGUGACCAUUGGAACCGUAGGUCAUGCGGUUGAGGCGAGGAGAAUCCGUAAGGUAACGUAUCUCCUUUUUAUUUGCUUUUAUGUAUUUUUCGGUGCUUAAAUUAAGGGAUGAUAUGCUUAUGACAAUGGUUUACAAGUUACGCCUUCAGACCAAUGCAAGGUCAGUGAAGGCUAACCGAUGAGGGACUUUUUCCGAGAGAUGAUGUCGGUAUGAGGUACAAUUUACUUCAUUUAAUUUAACAAAAAUGCUUAUGAACAUAUUUACUGUAUAUAUGUUAUGUAUCUUUUAUAUAUGUGAUACUGCUGAACAACAUACGUUUUAGCUUGCAAUUAUAUAAACAAAAUGAUGAUUAACUUACCUGUGAAUAUGUUUCUGGUCUUCGCUAUGUGAUUUAUGAUUGCCUCUUUUGUAUUGGUACGAUAUCCUCUGCUUUGUGAUAUGCGAAUGCGGGUUCUGGAUCAGUCCCUGAAUUGUUUGAUUUCACUACGUGUAUAAAUGCUCUAUCCUUGGUUCUCUCUCUGUGCGUGUAUUAUAGAUGGUAGUAUGCUUUCUCUGCUUUCUUUUUUAUCUGAUGGUUGUUGUAUAGGGAAUAUCUAUGCUUAUGUUGUCUCCUCUUGCUUUUGUGUAAUCUGUCAGAACUAUGCCUACACUUAUGCUUUGCUUUUUAUAAUAAUUUCUCUAUCCCAUAAAACUUAUCUCUCUCCCUUUUCUAUGUUACUUUCUGCUUGUUGCUUUUAUCACUGUAUGAUCUGCUCUCUCUGGCUGUGAGUUCCCUUCUUUUGAUAACCGUGUAUGAUAGCCCCCUUCUCUACUCUCUUGGUUAUUCUUUUAUGCUGAUUAUUGAUGUAACUGAAAGACUUUCUGGAUUGCUUCAGUUUUUUAUUCUCCUUUAAGGCUGCCCAUGAAUACUCUCCUUUAUGUUGAUAAUGAUGAUGUUUAACUGAAAAUUGGGAGCUUAACAGGUAGGAGUUUCUGAUAUAUAUAUAUAUAUCUUUUAUUGCUACUUUUGGAAUUCUGUCUGUUGAUAACCCAUGGCUGAAUCACUUUUCUGACUUUAUUUUGAUUACCUCAUGAUUGCUGCCCUUUAGCUUAUUGUAACUGAAAUUCCAAUAAUGCUACAUUCUACCCAUUGAGUGCCAUUUACUUGGAAUUAUGCUGAAUCAUACUUGAUUUUCGUUUAAAAUGUGUACGAGAAUGUGUCCUAUGAUUGCUUAGAAUGCUCUAUUAUUACUCAAAAAAAAUAUAACAGCCAUACUUUAACAGUUAGUUCUCUUCAAUGCAGACCCCUCAACCAAUUGUCUGCAGCUUCAGUUUCCAUCAGAAUGCCAACAACUGCAAUCCCGUAAAUAGAUAUGAUAACAUCAAGCCUAGAGGAUGUGACAUUGGUGUGAACAUCUGAUCUAGCAGCCUUAUGCUUUCUUCCAACAUAUAGCUCUUCUUGUAGAAAUGUAACACUUAUCAAAGCCGUGAUGACUGUUGCUUAGAGGUUUGAACAUUGCGCAGUAUAGAGGACCUCUUUCUGUGAUGCACCAGGUUUGAAUGAAGAAGCUGACCGCAAUUCCAAUUCCACUUCCACUGGCAGUGAGAUAUAUAGAGGCAAAAAAUUCCACUUGUAACAGUUUUUGUCCUUUGAACAAUGCCAUUGUUAAGGCUCCACUUACACAACAAACUAUCCCUAAUAUUCGGGCAAUGCUCCUUAAGCUUCUUUAGACCAAUUUUCUCAAAUCCAACAAUUGCUUGGAAAUAUGCAUUCUGAUUUGCUGUUACUCCCUGUUGAUCAUUCAAGUAGGAAUCAAACUUAGAUUUUAAUUAUUUAGCUUCUUGAGGGAUACAAACUUUCAUUGGUUUUUAAGACUUUUUCUCUUUGCUUUAUACUGGUUGUGUCGUUGGAUUGUCAAAUGCUUCGAUGAAUCAUGAAACGAUGUUAUGUAAUUUUUUUGAGUUUUGCACCAAAGAUAAAAAGUAAAGGCCGGACAAAAUUGAGUGUUCACACAUAUCAUUUUAUCAAGUGGAUGGUCUUUCUUGGUUUUCCACACCCUCAGACAAAUCCUAACGAUCCUCGCUGACUUCUUGAUCAUCCUGAGUCUCUUUGUCUUUUUCCAGUCCAUAGUAUAUACUUCUUCCAAAGCACCUGCAACAUCAUCAGACAAAACCUUUCUCUUAUCUUUUGUAGAAGAUUCGUCAAAAUGAACAUGGAUCGACUCCUCUACAUGCAUGGUG